GCCGGUAUGGCGAAAUUGGCAAACGCACUUGACUCAAAAUCAAGCGGUGCAUAACCUUGUCGGUUCGAGUCCGACUACCGGCACCA
rnacentral:tRNA from 1 species